AAAUGAGUCGCUCUCUUUUGGUUUAAAUAUUUUGUUACUGUCUUUCCCCUACAAUUCCCUUCAAUUAAAAGAUGUUGUAUGGCAUUCAUGGGAUAAAUGAAGUUGAUGCAUUGUGAGCAUUUCGUGACCUCUCACACCCUGAGGGGUCCAAGCUGGGCUGGAAGUCUGCAGGGAGGCAUACCUUUAUUCAGGGCUGAGUCACGUUGUUUGCAAGGGCCCUGGAGCCAAGUGUGCUGAAGACACAGACACCUGAGGGGCACUAGCUCUGCAGACGCCCAGACUUGCCGGUGAUCUUUGAGAGGAGGAGCUAGGCAGGCUUGUUUCCUUCCAAAUGAAGUAAAAGCAUGAAAAAGAAGAAAGGGAAGUGUCUGCUUCUGGACACUGGUGAUAACAUUGGUUUGAGGGUAUUGCUACUUGGAAAUGCCAAGACAUCCAGGCACCUGCUCUCACCUGCUGUGCCCUGUGUCUUCUGUUUUUUUUGCAGACAGAGCAGCUUUAUCUGAAUCUAGCCUUGUCAAGAGAUUAGAUUACAUAUUUAGUUUUUGUCUCAUCAAUUGAUGAUAAACUUGAAGAAGGCAGAGGGGUGUGUGUGUGUGUGUGUGUGCCCGUACAUGGUGUGUUUAUUUCCUGCAGUCUCUAGGACAGCAACAGUGGCUUUACCAUUUCAUUUGUUGAAGUGCCCUAAAAUACAAUAUAUGGAAAAGUGGGAGAGACCCAUAAUCCUCUUUCACUUUUGAAGUGAUUUAUGCAUUACAACACUAGAUUGCAGAGCGGGCUAGAAUUAGAAUGGAUAGAUUUUUGGGUAAAAUACAUAUCUUGAAUAGGGUUUUUAUGCUGUAUAUAUACACAAAGAGAUAUCUAUAGAAAAAGACAGAGAGAUAAUAGAUGCAAAUAGAUAAAAUUUGGUAUUAGUAACAUUUACCACAAGUAUGUUUAUCUAUUUCACACACAAAAAUGAACACAAUCACAGAAAAUAGGAGAGACCUUAAGAAAAUACAGUAUCAUCUAAAAGCUGUUCCUUUUGUUGCAGGAAAUGGAAAAGUACAGCUCCUUUUUCUUCACAGUGUGCCCUUGAGGAAGGACAAUGAAUUUCUCCUUGUCUUCCUCUAUUUGAUACAAUGCACUGCCUUCAGUCUCUGUGAUACGGACUUUAUAUUCAUAGAAUCUUCAAUUUCAAUGCUGUUAUCUUUUCACCUUGCAGAGCUAAUAGGAGUUAAUACUAUAUCCCAGGUAUAACUAUACCUCUCUCUAAUACCUGUAUCCCUAGAAAGGAGUGUGUCCAUUAUGAAUAUUUAAAGGAUUGAAUCAUAUUUUUUAAUGCUUAAGAAGAUCUUGUCUCAGAGUAUUCAUUUAUGAAUCUUUUGGAAAAAUGAAUGAUUAGUUAUUGAAUUAUUACUUAAAUAUGGAUUUGUAUGUACUGGGUUUAUUUGUAAAUCAUUCAAAUAUAUAAGAUAGUCCUGCAAGUUGAAAUUCCAGUAGUGAUUUUACAAGAUCAGGAUGAUCUUGUUAAAAAAAAGUCACAAAAAGUCACCAAGAAUGAAAAGUGACUCCAAGCAAUAAUGUAUCUAGACAUGUAAAUAUUUCUGAAGUCUUAUUUCACCUAUUCCUUAAUACCAGUGCAAUAAGUAGAGGUGGUUAAUGCUCCUUUCAUAUUCAGUUCAUUCUGCGGGACCAUGCUAUAGGUUAAAUAAUUAGAAAAUCGCUUUAACUAGAGUCCAGUGACAAAGUUCCCACUGGCGUGAGAUUACCACUAGCUUUUGAGCUCUUUGAACUCAGAGGGUAUGCCUGCCAGUGUUCAUAUUUCUUUUCUUUUUCUUUUCUUUUUUUUUGAUGGCUUUUUUCUCUGUUGCUCAGGCUGGCCUUGAACUCCUGAGCCGAAGCACUCCUCUUACCUCAGCCUCACGAGUAGCUGGCACUAUAAUGCGUGUCACAAUCCCUGGCUCAUGUUCAUACUUCAAUCUCCAGCGUGGUGAUUUAAAUGUAAUGGGUGCUCAUUAAAUAUAUUUUUAAUUUAUAUUUAAUAAAUAUAAAUAAGAUUCAUCAUUUAAAUAAGAGGGAAACUAGUAUCAAAGCAAUGCAUCUGGCUAUUCAAGAGAGAAACCUCUCUUAUUUCACUCUCUGAAUUCUAAGUUGGAGGAAAGGGAACCAGUAAGAUCGAAAGAGGACAAGAGAGAAAAUUCUCACAUUUAUUUGGAAAGUGAUUCUAUUCAUCUUAUCUCGGAUUCUUUAAGUGAAACUAGUUAAGUGAAAAGAGAAGGAAAACAGUGACUACAAGAGAAUCAAUCAGCAGAUAUUGAAAGACUUUCAUGUAACUAAUGGCAUCUGCUUAGAAAAUAUGAAUUGGGCCCAAAGUGGUAUUCUUUUUGGUCACUUAUAUUGGAAUUUAAAUGUGUAACUAAAAAUGAAAUCUUUAGAGAAAAUUUCAUUUCUUAAGCUGAAAUCUUUCCACAAGUUGGAGAAAAGAGAGAUGUACAUCCAGGAAAUCAAACUGAAAAGACAGGCUGAGAUUAUAAAUUGAGAUUCCCCAGUCAGAGGCCACACUUUUCUUUCCUAAUUACUGUUCUUUUCCUUGGAUCCUUCAUCCACCACUACAUUAAUUCUAGGCUUAACUUACAGCCAGCUCUUCUCCGUGGCUCAUCUCAGCAUAAUGAACUUUUGCCAUUAUCUUGAUCUUGUUAAAUUCUCUCUAACCUUAACCUAAUGAGAUACAGUGAAUGUGCAACCAUAAAUUAGAUGUUCAGACAAUCUCAGCUUGUUCUCAGUGCAGCAAUCCUUUUAACUUACAUCCAUCACUCUUUUGCUCAAGCACACUUAGUGGCUACCUAUUUUAGUAAAGUAAAAGAAAAAGCCCUUUCAAUGGCCUUCACAGGCCGGUGUCUCUGUAUUUCUCCCCGUCCCUCCCCCUAGCACACAUGGCUCUCUCUCCUCCAGUCACACCAAUGUCCUCGGGAAGUCUUCCACCAAGUCUUUGUUCAAAUGACAACUUCUCAAUCACCACUCUGUUUAGAAAUAGAAUCACCUCCUAACCCACACCCUUCUCUGCUCUAUUUCUUCUCUCCAGUCAAUUUAUCACCUUUCAAUAUACUAUACAAUUUUCUUUUUUAUUAUUGUGUUUAUUGCUUAUUUUCUAUUCCUUACACACUAGAAUGUGAGGUUUGCAGGCGUUUCUGCCAUGUUUUUCAUUGAUGUAUUCCAAGUACUUAGAACAGUGCCUGACAUGUAGUUAGUAGUUACUCAAUAGAUAUUUGUUGAGUGAAUGAAUGAGGAAAGGAAAGAAUAUGCCCAAUAUUCAUGAUCAUUUAUUAAGUGGUAACAAAAAUAAUGUGAAAUGUAAGUUUAACUAUAUUUACUUCUCUAUACUUUGGACCACAUGUCUAUAUAUUAGAAUUAAGCAUUCUAACCAGGCACUGAGAUAGAGAGAGAAGAAGUAGGCUUGGGAAUCAACUACAGUGAUGUUCAAAUUGUAGUUCUGCCGCUUGCUAGGUAUGGAAAAGUUAAGUCAAUUUCUGUGAGCUUCAGUUAUCUUCUUUGUGAAACGGCAGUGUUAUAAGUAUUCAGUGAAAAACAAGCACAGCUUUUGGUGCAACAGGUACAUGAUAACUGUGAGUUUCUCCUUUUGUCUCUCAGCCCUUCUCAGGCUUCAAUUUGCAAAGCUCCAUAGUGGAUCCCUAAACCUCUCUACACAGGAAAUUGUGCAGGAGACUGGGGGAAAGGUGAUGAGGCAGUUAUCAAAUAUUUUCUAGUUCUUUGCUGGAGGCCCUGGCCAGUGGGCAUACUUGAGAAUGAGGAUAAACGAAAAGAGCACCUCUUACCCAUGAUUAUGGUGGAUGGAGUCAGGGACCAGGCAUGGACAAGAUGCCAGUGGAGAGUGCUGGAGGGUGAGAACCAUGGACACCUAAGUCAACAUAUCAUCAAAGCAAAAACAGCCUGAACCUGGAGUCAAAAGCCAAGUACUAAAUCAAAGGAUUCGAAAGAUAAAGAGAUCAAGCACAAGAAGGUUGGAAAUGGCUAGAGGGAACAUGGACUUGGUGAAGGCCAUUGCCAGUGGCCAAGUGGCUAUGUCCUGCAGCUGGACUGAAAGGAUAGGAUGCCAUAAGGUGCUUCUGGAAGUCCCUUAAAAGUCCUGCACAGAGGCCGGGUGCAGUGGCUCACACCUAUAAUCCUGGCACGUUGGGAGGCCGAGGCAGACGGUUCACCUGAGGUCAGGAGUUCGAGACCAGCCUAGCCAACAUGGUGAAACCCCAUCUCUACUAAAAAUACAAAAAUUAGCCAGGCACGGUGGCAGGCGCCUAUAAUCCCAGCUACUCGGGAGGCUGAGGCAGGAGAAUCACUUGAACCUGGGAGGCUGAGGUUGCAGUGAGCUGAGAUCGCACCACUGCACUCUAGCCUGGGUGACAGAGCAAGGCUCCAUCUCAAAAAAAAAAAAAAAAAAAAAAAGUCCUGCACAGAAUGAACAGAAGCCACCGUGGUCAUGCCAGGGCCUUCUCUGGACACCUGGGGACUUUUGCCUUGACUGACACUCUUCUGAUAUUUCUAAAGGAAGCUUUCAGCUUGGGAAAAUUGUGGGUGGGGGUUGGAGGGGGGGAAGAGGCAGGACUGGGGAAUAUUACUUCUCUUCCUCGAGUCAGAGGGAGUAUUACUACAUACUCUGAAGCCAGAAUAAAAAUUGAAGUGAAAAAAUGUGUUAGCGUAAGUUUAAGCCAGUGCUUCACUGUUUACAUGAACGCAAUGAACAAUCAACAGCAAGUCAGUAAAUGAGUGUUUAUUGAGCAAAUGCUCUCAAGAUGCACAGCCGUGCUGCCCACCUUUCAUGCAAACAGCAGCACCAGCUUUGACCUCUCAACUUCCCCAUUAGGAGUGAUUUUGAUUGAGAAAUUCUCUGAAAUUCUUAAAAAACCAAUGGGAUAUGUGGACUGGUACUAGAUUUCUUUACCUUAGAUAUGAAUAUGACAUCUUUCAUAUUUUAAUAAGUAGCUGACCUGUUAAGUUAUCUUAAAGGCAUUUACGAAAUUGUAAACUUGGUGCUCUCAGAGGUGGUAAAACUAGGCACUGGCAUGCUGAAAAGGUAAGGCUCAUGAUACGGUUUGGCUGUGUCCCCACCCAAAUCUCAUCCUGAAUUGUAGUUCUAACAAUUCCCAUUGUUGUGGAAGGAAGCCAGUGAAAGGUAAUUGAAUCAUGAGAGCAGGUCUUUCCCAUGUUGUUCUCAUGUUAGUGAAUAAGUCUCAUGAGAUCUGAUGAUUUUAUAAAGGGGAGUUUCCCCAUGCAAGCUCUCUUCUCUUGGUUGCCACCAUGUGAGACGUGUCUUUCACCUUCUGCCAUGAUUGUGAGGCCUCCCCAGCCACAUGGAACUGUGAGUCCAUUAAACCUCUUUCUUUUUUUAAAUUGCCCAGUCUCAGGUAUGUCUUUUUCAGCAGCGUGAAAACAGACUAAUACAGUUCACGAGGCACCAAUAUGCUCUCCUGGAGCCACUGGGGCCUAUGGUCAGGCUCUCAUUUUGAUUCCAUAGAAUCAUUUGGUGAUGUCUGAUUUCUACUAAAGAAGUUCAUAAUACAGACAAAACCAGACUUCCAGAUUUGGAAAGAAUCUUAAGAAUGCUCCUGAAACACUGGUUCCCCAGGAUGUUAAUCAUUUUCCCUUGGGGGGAAAAAUGUCCAUGACAAGUUUCGGAAAUGCUAAGAUAAAUAAUAUUAAGCAUACUUUUUUUACUGCAGAAUUUUCCAGUCAUACCUGGCAUUCUAUGUGAAUCACAAAGAGAAUCACAAACCAUAGGAAGUGUCUCCAAAAUUAUUUGGCCAUAAAAUCCUUUUUACAUUGAGUACCUUUUAAAAAAAUUAAUAGUGUGUGUAUGUGCAGUUUUAGUUUUAGAUUUACAGAAAGUUUGGACAAAAAGAACAGAGUUCUCAUAUAGCUUCUUUUUUUUUUUUUUUUUUUUUUUGAGACAGGGUCUCACUCUGUCACCCCCAACUGGAGUGCAGUGGUGCGAUCUCUGCUCACCGCAACCUCCACCUUCCAGGCUCACGUGAUUCUUCUGCCUCAGCCUCCUGAGUAGCUGGGAUUACAGGUGUGUGCCACUACCUCUCGGCUAAUUUUUGUAUUUUUAGUAGACAUGGGGUUUCAGUAUGUUGACCAGGCUGAUCUCAAACUCCUGACCUCAAAUGAUCUGCCCGCCUCAGCCUCCCAAAGUACUGGGAUUACAGGCGUGAGCGACCACACCUAGCCUCAUACAUCUUCUUAACCUUCCACCACUCCUAGCUUCCCCCUAUUAUUAACAUUUUGCAUUAGUGUGGUACAUUUGUUACAACUGAUGAGCCAAGAUUGAUGCAUUAUUAUUAACUAAAAUUUCAUAGUUUACAUUAGGGUUCACUCUUUGGGUUGUACAGUCUAUGGGUUCCGUCAGUUACCUAAUAACAUGUAUCUACCAUUACAAUAUCACAUAGAAUAGUUACAGAAUAGUCACACUACUGCAGGUGGAUGUCCAGUUGUUCUAAUAGAUUGGGCACUUUGCUAAGACUUUUGUUCUGAGAGGGACAGUUGGGGGAAUACUGACCGAAUUUCAUGUUGUAAUUGUACAAGAGAAAAAAUUGAUUCUCUUCACAGAGAAUUGAUUUUCUCAAGGUCACACAACUAAUGCUGGCUAAAUUGAGAACAAAUACUGAUCUACAAAGCAGAAUUUCAAUUUUAAUUUUUAAUGGAAGCUGCCUUUACAAUGACCAAUGUGCUUUUAUGUGUUGCCUGGUACCUUCUAAGUUAGAAGAUUUUUCCAUACAGAUUAAAUGAUCAGAUGGUUAUUUGGCGAAAUAAAGCAAAGAGAUUAAGAGAGUCUUGGAAGACAUUUCAUGUAGGUUGUGAGGUAACCUGAAUAUUUUCCUACUUUACUAUGUAGUCCACUUUUCUAGUAACAUAAAUUCUCAUAUCUCUUAGGGAUGGUGUCUUUUUUUGAGUCACUAGAUACACACACACACACACACACACACACACAUAUGCACACACAUACACUCUUUAAUUUUCUUUGUCCUUGAUUAAACAUAUCACAAUACUUGUAUAUUGUUAUAGCCUGGGGCAUAACAUCAUUAAUAGGCUAACAGUUUAUCUUACAUUAGUCUUUGUUAAUGCUGAUAAAUUCAACAUUCAGUUCUAAGCUCCUGUUCUUUGACAGGUACUGUAAGAGGGGUGGAAAUUUCAGGAACACCUGAGCUUUUUUUGAUAAAUGUUUCAGAGAUUCUCCCAUGCCUUUUAUAAGCUUUUGGAAGCUUUCAUAAUGUUAUCUUUUAUGUUUGGUUAUAGAGAGUUAAUAUUUUAAUUUAUGUUAAUUUUUCUGACGUUGUACCUAAAUUUCAGAAGUUACUACCAUUUGGGGCCAAGUAAUCAAUAGGGACUGUCGAGAGAAAUAAUUUAGCCUUCCCUUGGUUCUAACCACCUUCCCCAAAUACAUUAUCUCUAUGAAGUCUAUGCAUGCAAUAUCCCAAAUGUCUUAUUAUAGGUGAUUCUAUUUUCACAGGUAGCAGGUAAUAUAAAACAUUCUAAAACUGUUUCUCAUUCUUUCUAUUCCAUUCAAGAUUUUCAAAUAGGUGAAGCAAGAAUUAGGACUGGCUACUUCAGCUGGAGUGCAAUGGUGCGAUCACAGCUCACUGCAGCCUCUAACACCUGAGCUCACUGAUCCUUCCGCCUCAGCCUCCGGAGUAGCUGGGAUCAUAGGUGCCACCCGGGUGCAGUGAGGACCUGAAGCCCCUGCCCCAGGCUGUGAGGAGACCUGACCGGAGCUGCCUGAAUGCUCCACGGAGCAGCAGGAGGCAGCAUUCCCAUGUGAAAGACAAGCUACCUAUAAAAGCAACGCUCUUAUCAUCGAGAACAGAAAGUUGAAGCCAAGAGAGAGCUCCACAAGCUGACCUUAUUAAACUAACCCUUAUCUUCUUAGUCGCUUCUUUACCCAAUUAACUACCCUAGCCGAAGCCCCUUUGCCUUAUUACAUUUUGCAACAGUGUUCGUUGUCCAAUUCAGUAUACAAGUGAGUGACUCUAGAUGCUUUUUGGGGUCUUCGUUUCCUUAUGAGGUCUUCUGUGCCGUGUAAAACUUGUAUUAAAUAAAUUUGUAUGCUUUUCUCCUGUUAA